rnacentral:rRNA from 1 species
UACGGAGGGGGCAAGCGUUAUACGGAAUUAUUGGGCGUAAAGCGUCCGUAGGUGGUUGGCCAAGUCUGCUGUCAAAGGGUGGGGCUUAACCUCAUAAAGGCAGUGGAAACUGGCGAGCUAGAGUGCGGUAGGGGUAGGGGGAAUUCCCAGUGUAGCGGUGAAAUGCGUAGAGAUUGGGAAGAACAUCGGUGGCGAAAGCGCCCUGCUGGGCCUGCACUGACACUGAGCGACGAAAGCUAGGGGUGCGAAAGGG